GCACUGGUGAUUCUUUAGUCAACGAUUGC
rnacentral:sRNA from 1 species